rnacentral:rRNA from 1 species
GAUGAACGCUGGCGGCGUGCCUAAUACAUGCAAGUCGAGCGAACAGAUGAGGAGCUUGCUCCUCUGACGUUAGCGGCGGACGGGUGAGUAACACGUGGAUAACCUACCUAUAAGACUGGGAUAACUUCGGGAAACCGGAGCUAAUACCAGAUAAUAUAUUGAACCGCAUGGUUCAAUAGUGAAAGACGGUUUUGCUGUCACUUAUAGAUGGAUCCGCGCCGCAUUAGCUAGUUGGUAAGGUAACGGCUUACCAAGGCAACGAUGCGUAGCCGACCUGAGAGGGUGAUCGGCCACACUGGAACUGAGACACGGUCCAGACUCCUACGGGAGGCAGCAGUAGGGAAUCUUCCGCAAUGGGCGAAAGCCUGACCGAGCAACGCCGCGUGAGUGAUGAAGGUCUUCGGAUCGUAAAACUCUGUUAUUAGGGAAGAACAAAUGUGUAAUUAACUAUGCACGUCUUGACGGUACCUAAUCAGAAAGCCCCGGCUAACUACGUG